rnacentral:rRNA from 1 species
GGGCUCACACAAGCGGUGGAGGAUGUGGCUCAAUUCGAGGCUACGCGAAGAACCUUAUCCUAGGCUUGACAUGCACGGAUUAACCCCGUGAAAGCGGGGCCACGCCCUCUGGGUGGAACGUGCACAGGUGCUGCAUGGCUGUCGUCAGCUCGUGUCGUGAGAUGUCGGGUUAAGUCCCUUAACGAGCGAAACCCUUGUCGCUAGUUGCCAGCGGGUCAUGCCGGGGACUCUAGCGAGACUGCCGGUGUUAAACCGGAGGAAGGUGGGGAUGACGUCAAGUCCUCAUGGCCCUUACGCCUAGGGCUGCACACGUCCUACAAUGGCGUGCACAAAGGGACGCAAACCCGCGAGGGCGAGCAAAUCCCAAAAAACACGCCCCAGUUCGGAUUGCAGGCUGCAACCCGCCUGCAUGAAGCCGGAAUCGCUAGUAAUCGCGGGUCAGCAUACCGCGGUGAAUGUGUUCCUGAGCCUU